rnacentral:rRNA from 1 species
GAUGAACGCUGGCGGCGUGCCUAAUACAUGCAAGUCGAGCGAACAGACGAGGAGCUUGCUCCUCUGACGUUAGCGGCGGACGGGUGAGUAACACGUGGAUAACCUACCUAUAAGACUGGGAUAACUUCGGGAAACCGGAGCUAAUACCGGAUAAUAUAUUGAACCGCAUGGUUCAAUAGUGAAAGACGGUUUUGCUGUCACUUAUAGAUGGAUCCGCGCCGCAUUAGCUAGUUGGUAAGGUAACGGCUUACCAAGGCGACGAUGCGUAGCCGACCUGAGAGGGUGGUCGGCCACACUGGAACUGAGACACGGUCCAGACUCCUACGGGAGGCAGCAGUAGGGAAUCUUCCGCAAUGGGCGAAAGCCUGACGGAGCAACGCCGCGUGAGUGAUGAAGGUCUUCGGAUCGUAAAACUCUGUUAUUAGGGAAGAACAAAUGUGUAAGUAACUAUGCACGUCUUGACGGUACCUAAUCAGAAAGCCACGGCUAACUACGUG